GUCUGUUUGAUUGUGGGAUUUGAUUUUCCGGAAAUUAUUUUCCAACUUUUCCAGUGUUUGUUUGGCGGAAAACAUUUUCCAUUUGGAAAAUCAACUCCAAAACACGGGAAAAUGCCUUACAAUUUUUGGGAAAUUGUCUUACCGUUUCAAUUUCUGUAAGACAUUUUCCUAAAGCUCUCAGGCAUUCUUCUCCCUUCAUCCAGUAAGCUCCCUUCAUCCAUUCUUCUCCAUUCCUUCAUUCCUUCAAAUUUCCAUGAGAAAACUUCCCUGAGAAAACGUCGAGAACUGAUUUUCCAGUAAUCCCCCACUCUCCUCGCUAUCGAUUAUCGCUGUGGUUUUUCAUUUCCUCGGUUCCCUCCUCUCCUGAUCUGGUAACCUUCACUUUUCUGCUCUUCGGGUUUGGCUUUAAAUGGUAACCAAGAAAGAGAGCAGGAACCGGCACAGCUUCCUUUGCUACUUCUCCAUUUAAAGCCUCCUCUAAGGUGUUAUUUCUCUAUUUUAGUGCCUAUUAUCCUUUUAUUAUUUUUGCUCUCUCUUUGUUUUUGAGAUCUGUGUGUUUCUUCAAGCUUCUUGAAAGAUUCAUUUUGGUUCAGAACUGGAAACCGCUACUGUGAUGACUCCACCAAUUGAGACUACAGUCAAGUCCUCUGACUCUCACUGCGCUCCACAUCCUCCUUUGAAUGAAAGGAUCCUUUCGUCAAUGACCAGGAGGUCCGUCGCUGCUCACCCACGGCAUGAUCUUGAAAUUGGUAUCCAAUGUCAACUUUAGCUGUGUAUAGUUUCUUCUGGGUUUCAUAUUGGUUUUUUUGUAAAUAUAACAAUUUACUACUUUUUUUCCUACUAUUUUUAAUCUAUAUUACAGGACCUGGAGCUCCUACGAUUUUUAACUGCAUAA